AGAUUUUAGUCAGUGUACUAAAUCCAAACCAGCGGAACUGUCUUUGUGUAAAAACCUUAAGAAUUUUUGUAUUUCAGAAUCCUGAUCAACAGAUCAGUUAAUGGGAGUCUGGUUAUUAAAGUGCAUCCACUACGCUUUCUCUGAGAGAUACAUGCUAAGGCCAAGAAGGAAAAUGGGAGCUCAAGGUUUUGAUUUAGUUCCCCAUAGUUUCUUGUCUUUUUUAUAUUUAGUUCUGAUAUUAUAAUGAUGUUUGUGUAAGAUUUGAUGAAAAUGUUUACAUGUUUGUGGUACUGAUAUAAGUAUAUUUUGGUUUAUUAAUGAAAUAUAAAUUGAAUAUUA